rnacentral:lncRNA from 1 species
CUCUCAAGCUGGGUGGCAGACUGGGAGGCUGUGUCCCAAAAGGUCUCCCUGAAGAAACCAUUUUAGGAGCUGCCAAAGACUUGGAUUAUCUUUUAAAGGUUGAGUGCAUGUUCCCCUUCACUCUGGUGGACAGUUGUGAAUGGGUGUGAACUUCCUCCCUUUCUGGACCUUGUGAGGACCCUACAUCUUGAUCCUGCUGUUUUGACCAACUAAGGACUCUGGAGUUUGUAAUAAUCUGGCCCAGUGGACAUUACUAACCCCUUGUGUCUUCUACUAGUUCAAUUAGUUAAGGUUUAUUUAGAAAGUCUAAGAAUUAAUACCUGGAAUAGGAAGUCUACUUUUUACCAUCACAGUCUUCCGAUACUAAAAGCCAAGAUCUGCCUUACUACAAGCUACCAGAUUUGGAUGUUGUGACAUGGAGUGGGUGGGACUAUCAGAUGGGAGCACUAGAAUCAAUUUGACAGGAGUUGGAGGAACAAAAUCAAAGGAGUCACAGCUGAUGUCCUCUUGCUGAUGGAUUUGGAGAAGUCCCAGUAGAAAAUCACCAGCAGCAGCUCUGUUGAAAAUCACUCUUCAGCAGCAGCAGCAGCAGCAGCAGCAAGGAUAGGUAGAAUCUCAAGAAAAGCCACAGGAGAGGAAAUAUCUGGCUCUAUAGGUCCACCAAAGAAUAACCAGACAGAAAAACCCCCCUGGCUCUUCUGACUGUUAGGGAAAGCAACAGCCUGUCAGCCAGGAACUGCCUUCUCAGAGCUCCAGAAUGUUGGCCUAUAGCAUCUCCUGCUUUGAAGCAAAGCUAAUCUUAUAUUUCCUACAACAGUAGGAAAGGCCAGAACCCAUGGAAUGAAGAUUCUGGCUGCAGGGGGACAGAAGGACAAGGGAUAAUAUUUUAUUGAAUUUUCCUAGAACCACCAAACUGGAAAGGGUCAACCUGUUCAUCUAACAA